rnacentral:rRNA from 1 species
GGUUCAGAUUGAACGCUGGCGGCAGGCCUAACACAUGCAAGUCGAGCGGUAGCACAGAGAGCUUGCUCUCGGGUGACGAGCGGCGGACGGGUGAGUAAUGUCUGGGAAACUGCCUGAUGGAGGGGGAUAACUACUGGAAACGGUAGCUAAUACCGCAUAACGUCGCAAGACCAAAGUGGGGGACCUUCGGGCCUCAUGCCAUCAGAUGUGCCCAGAUGGGAUUAGCUAGUAGGUGGGGUAACGGCUCACCUAGGCGACGAUCCCUAGCUGGUCUGAGAGGAUGACCAGCCACACUGGAACUGAGACACGGUCCAGACUCCUACGGGAGGCAGCAGUGGGGAAUAUUGCACAAUGGGCGCAAGCCUGAUGCAGCCAUGCCGCGUGUGUGAAGAAGGCCUUCGGGUUGUAAAGCACUUUCAGCGGGGAGGAAGGCGAUAAGGUUAAUAACCUUGUCGAUUGACGUUACCCGCAGAAGAAGCACCGGCUAACUCCGUGCCAGCAGCCGCGGUAAUACGGAGGGUGCAAGCGUUAAUCGGAAUUACUGGGCGUAAAGCGCACGCAGGCGGUCUGUCAAGUCGGAUGUGAAAUCCCCGGGCUCAACCUGGGAACUGCAUUCGAAACUGGCAGGCUAGAGUCUUGUAGAGGGGGGUAGAAUUCCAGGUGUAGCGGUGAAAUGCGUAGAGAUCUGGAGGAAUACCGGUGGCGAAGGCGGCCCCCUGGACAAAGACUGACGCUCAGGUGCGAAAGCGUGGGGAGCAAACAGGAUUAGAUACCCUGGUAGUCCACGCCGUAAACGAUGUCGAUUUGGAGGUUGUGCCCUUGAGGCGUGGCUUCCGGAGCUAACGCGUUAAAUCGACCGCCUGGGGAGUACGGCCGCAAGGUUAAAACUCAAAUGAAUUGACGGGGGCCCGCACAAGCGGUGGAGCAUGUGGUUUAAUUCGAUGCAACGCGAAGAACCUUACCUGGUCUUGACAUCCACAGAACUUAGCAGAGAUGCUUUGGUGCCUUCGGGAACUGUGAGACAGGUGCUGCAUGGCUGUCGUCAGCUCGUGUUGUGAAAUGUUGGGUUAAGUCCCGCAACGAGCGCAACCCUUAUCCUUUGUUGCCAGCGGUUCGGCCGGGAACUCAAAGGAGACUGCCAGUGAUAAACUGGAGGAAGGUGGGGAUGACGUCAAGUCAUCAUGGCCCUUACGACCAGGGCUACACACGUGCUACAAUGGCAUAUACAAAGAGAAGCGACCUCGCGAGAGCAAGCGGACCUCAUAAAGUAUGUCGUAGUCCGGAUUGGAGUCUGCAACUCGACUCCAUGAAGUCGGAAUCGCUAGUAAUCGUAGAUCAGAAUGCUACGGUGAAUACGUUCCCGGGCCUUGUACACACCGCCCGACACACCAUGGGAGUGGGUUGCAAAAGAAGUAGGUAGCUUAACCUUCGGGAGGGCGCUUACCACUUUGUGAUU